rnacentral:rRNA from 1 species
AGCGAACGCUGGCGGCAGGCCUAACACAUGCAAGUCGAACGAAGCCUUCGGGCUUAGUGGCGGACGGGUGAGUAACACGUGGGAACGUACCUUUUGGUUCGGAACAACUCAGGGAAACUUGAGCUAAUACCGGAUGAGCCCUUAGGGGGAAAGACUUAUCGCCGAAAGAGCGGCCCGCGUUAGAUUAGCUAGUUGGUGAGGUAAAGGCUCACCAAGGCAACGAUCUAUAGCUGGUCUGAGAGGAUGAUCAGCCACACUGGGACUGAGAUACGGCCCAGACUCCUACGGGAGGCAGCAGUGGGGAAUCUUGCGCAAUGGGCGAAAGCCUGACGCAGCCAUGCCGCGUGAAUGAUGAAGGUCUUAGGAUUGUAAAAUUCUUUUACCAGGGACGAUAAUGACGGUACCUGGAGAAAAAGCCCCGGCUAACUUCGUGCCAGCAGCCGCCGUAACAC